UACGUAGGUGGCGAGCGUUGUCCGGAUUUACUGGGCGUAAAGGAUGCGUAGGCGGAUAUUUAAGUGAGAUGUGAAAUACCCGGGCUUAACUUGGGUGCUGCAUUUCAAACUGGAUAUCUAGAGUGCGGGAGAGGAGAAUGGAAUUCCUAGUGUAGCGGUGAAAUGCGUAGAGAUUAGGAAGAACACCAGUGGCGAAGGCGGCUCACUGGACCGGAACUGACGCUGAGGCGCGAAAGCGUGGGGAGCAAACAGG
rnacentral:rRNA from 1 species